UUCGUAGGGCGCAAGCGUUAUCCGGAAUUAUUGGGCGUAAAGAGCUCGUAGGCGGUUUGUCGCGUCUGCCGUGAAAGUCCGGGGCUCAACUCCGGAUCUGCGGUGGGUACGGGCAGACUAGAGUGAUGUAGGGGAGACUGGAAUUCCUGGUGUAGCGGUGAAAUGCGCAGAUAUCAGGAGGAACACCGAUGGCGAAGGCAGGUCUCUGGGCAUUAACUGACGCUGAGGAGCGAAAGCAUGGGGAGCGAACAGG
rnacentral:rRNA from 1 species